rnacentral:misc_RNA from 1 species
GAUGAAGAACGCAGCGAAAUGCGAUGCGUAAUGUGAAUUGCAGAAUUCAGUGAAUCAUCGAGUCUUUGAACGCACAUUGCGCCCCCUGGUAUUCCGGGGGGCAUGCCUGUCCGAGCGUCAUUGCUGCCCUCAAGCACGGCUUGUGUGUUGGGCCUCCGUCCUCCUCCCGGGGGACGGGCCCGAAAGGCAGCGGCGGCACCGCGUCCGGUCCUCGAGCGUAUGGGGCUUCGUCACCCGCUCUUGUAGGCCCGGCCGGCGCUUGCCGACACAUCAAUCUUUUUUCCAGGUUGACCUCGGAUCAGGUAGGGAUACCCGCUGAACUUAAGCAUAUCAAUAGCGGAGGA